ACAGGGAGCUUGCUCCCGGGUGGCGAGUGGCGCACGGGUGAGUAAUACAUCGGAACGUGUCCUGUUGUGGGGGAUAACUGCUCGAAAGGGUGGCUAAUACCGCAUGAGACCUGAGGGUGAAAGCGGGGGAUCGCAAGACCUCGCGCAAUUGGAGCGGCCGAUGCCCGAUUAGCUAGUUGGUGAGGUAAAGGCUCACCAAGGCGACGAUCGGUAGCUGGUCUGAGAGGACGACCAGCCACACUGGAACUGAGACACGGUCCAGACUCC
rnacentral:rRNA from 1 species